rnacentral:rRNA from 1 species
ARCGAACGCUGGCGGUGUGCCUAAGGUAUGCAAGUSGAGCGACACUUUUUGAGCCGCAAGCAAGGGAAGUGGGAGCGGCGAACGGGUGAGAAUAACGUGGGAGAUACCCUCGGAUGGUGAAUACCUCGCCGAAAGGGCNUAAUGCACCGUGGUCUGCGUAGGAAUUACGGUUCUCUAUUCAGUAUAGGUCGCCUUUGGCGMUGUCCGAGGAUUCGCCCAUUCCUAUCAGCUAGUUGGUAAGGUAAAAGCUUACCUAGGCGAUGACGGGUAGGGGGCGUGGAGCGCGUACCUCCACAAGGGCACUGAGACACGGGCCCUACACCUACGGGCGGCAGCAACGGGAAUUUUGCGCAAUGGACGAAAGUCUGAUGCAGCGACACCGCGUGAGGGAUGACAGCCUCGGGUUGUAAACCUUACUCAAAAAGCACCGGCUAACUACGUGCCAGCAGCAGCGGUAAACGUAGGGUGCAAGCGUUGUCCGGAUUUAUUGGGCGUAAAGAGUUCUGUAGGCGGAAGGAAAGUAGUCAGUAAAAUUCUUGGGCUCAACCCAAGACUGGCUGGCUAAACUACCUUUUAGAAGUAGAGAGNGAGCAGCGGAACUGGUGGUGGAGCGGUAAAAUGCGUUGAUAUCACAGGAACACCAAGGGCGAAGCAGCUGCUUNGCUCUUUCUUNACGCUGAGAGACCGAAAACGUGGG